AUUAUCUAUGGCUUUUAAGCUCCUUGGCAGAAAUAUUACUAUUCAAGGUCUCAACCCUACUGCAUUAUCACUAAUGGAAGGUGAAGAAUUUGGGAAGGCUACUAAGAUUAAUAAGAGAGGAACUAUUAGCAUUGGUGUUAGCUGUGAGGAAGUGGCGGGCUUAUGCCCUUGGACAGAAAUUUGUGGUGCAAACUGACCAACAAAGCCUCAAACAUCUAUUGGAUUAGCGUGUGGGUACUGUUGCCCAGCAAAAGUGGCUUACAAACUUAUUGGGAUAUGAUUUUGAAGUUCAGUACAAAAGAAGAAGGGAGAAUUGUGAAGGGGAAUUUUCAAGGAAAUGUGAAGGAGAAUUUUCAACUCCAAAUGUACCAGUGGCAACUUGGCUGAAUCAGUUGAGGACUGAUUAUGUCACAUCACUAGAACUGAUUUCCUUGCAGGAACAGUUCAAAGCAGGCCAACUAGAUCAGUCUAAAUACAGUGAGAAGGAUGGAAUUAUUUUCUACAAGGGUCGGAUUUAUGUUGGGGCCACUACACCUCUUAAGGAGCAGCUUAUUCAGCUAUUUCAUUGCAAUCCUCAAGGAGGUCAUUCUGGGUUUCACAAAACAUUACAUAGGGCUAGAUCUGAAUUUUUUCGGAAGGGUAUGCGCAGAGACAUUAGAUCAUUCAUUAAAGAAUGUGAUAAUUUUUAAAGGAAUAAAAGUGAGAAUAUACAUCCUCCUGGACUUCUUCAACCUCUUUCAAUUCCCACAAAGGUAUGGAGUGACAUUUCUAUGGACUUUAUUGAAGGGCUUCCAGUCUCUCAGGGGCUUAGUGUCAUUGUGGUGGUGGUUGAUUGACUUACAAAAUAUGCCCACUUCAUUCCCCUCUCCCAUCCUUAUAUAGCCUCCAAAAUUGCUCAUGUUUUUAUGGAUAAUAUUUUCAAACUCCAUGGAAUGUCCACUUCUAUUGUCACUGACCGUGACCCAAAAUUCACACGUAGUUUUUGGAAAGAAUUAUUUAGAUUACUAGGAACCUCCUUGCAGCUCAGUUCAGUCUAUCAUCCUCAGUCUGAUGGCCAAACUGAAAUAGUCAACAAAUGUGUUGAGCAGUAUUUGAGAAGUUUUACUGGGGACAAACUGCGUCAUUGGGCUAAAUGGAUAUCUUUGGCUAAGUGGUGGUACAACACCAACUUACACUCUUCCACCAAACUUACACCAUUUGAAUCAGUCUACGGUUAUCCACCCCCUAAAUUAUUGCCCUUUUCCUCGGCACUACACAAGUUCAGGCAGUUGAUAAUGAGUUACGUACAAUGAAUGAACUCUCUAAGCUACUUCAACACAACCUAUAGCUAGCUCAAGAACGUAUGAAAAAUUUCCUGAUUUGAAGAUAACUGAACGUAGUUUUGAAAUUGAGGAUUUCGUGUACCUUUGGUUGCAGCCCUAUCUUCAGCACUUAGUGGUAUCUUGGAGUAAAUUGAAGCUUUCCCCAAGGUUUUAUGGGCCUUACAAAAUUUUGGAACAUGUGGGUUCGGUGGCUUACUGAUUGGAGCUUCCGUUGGAUUCUAGGGUUCACCCAACAUUCCAUGUCUUGUGUUUGAAGAGGAAACUGGGUAAGCACAACAUACACUCAUCUUCCUUACCCCCACUUGCAGAAUGUGUAAACCGGAGCCUGAUAAGAUUCUGCAAUGUCGCAUGGUGCAACGGCGAAAUCGUGCGGGUGCUAAGAUUUUGGUAAAGUGGAGAGGACUUCCAGAUGAUGAAGCCUCGUGGGUUGACUAUAACAAAUUAGCCCUUGAUUCCUCGACCUUGUGGGCAAGGUCCUAUAGGGGAAGAGAUUGUUAUGGGCCACAACCCAUGGCCCACGUUAGUUGGCUUAUAGCCAUGUUAGUUUUGAGUUGCUAAGUUGUUAAGUUCAGUGGGUUGUUAAUAAAGUGCACACACCAUGGUCUCUAACCUCGUCAAGUGAAGAGUCUGUAGUUUUGCUUGAUUUUAGAGGUUGUUUUGGGUUGUUUUGAUUCCUGGUAAUUAGGCAAUAUAUUUGCCAGUUUGUUGGUCUUGUUCACUUUUAAAUAUUCGUUCAGUUAAUGAAGAUUGUAGAGAAAUUUGCUA